rnacentral:lncRNA from 1 species
AAGCGGCUGAGGGAGUCGCGGGCCAAGAAAGCUGAAAAGAGUGCCGGAAAACGACCCAGGGAUGAUGAUGAGGGUCGGGUUGCGGAUGUGCUGGGCAAGAGGAAAGCCAUAGAGGAGGCGCACCAGCAUGUGAUGGGCUCGGGGCCGAGACUUCCGCCCUUUGAUCUGCAGGCCCCGCCGAAGCUACCCUUCGGCAUGGAGGAUGUGUUCGCUGAAGGGGUUGAGAAGGUUGACUUCGGCAGGCUUCGGCAGCAGAAGAAGGAGGUCAACCUGGCGAUGCACCGACAGGAGGUGCCCUUGGUGAACGUCUUCUUGGAAGGCGUGAAGAGCGACCCCGAGGCCCUGGCAAAGACUCCAGCUUCAUCCUUCGUGGACCGGGCCCAAAAGACGAUCCUCACCUCUGCCUAUGUAAGUGUUUAGGCCCUUU